rnacentral:lncRNA from 1 species
AGCCAUACACAUAUCCACACAAGGCCAGGCAGUGUGCAGCAAAGUUUACAUGUCUGCUUGUUUAAUCUUCACAAUGACUACGUGACAUUAUUCAGAUAGCCUCAUUUCCGUCAUUAUAAAGAUGAGAGAAGUGGAAGUUCAGAGACAGCAAAUUAUUGCUCAAAGUCACAUACCCAGGCGGGGCAGCACCAGGUCCCCUGAACCCCAGGCCCUCCCUCUCACCCUGGCACUCUGCCAAAUGACUGCUAAUGAGAAUAUAUGCUCUGAAGGAAGAUAUGAAAAAAAUUGCUUCCACUGAGGGUGUUCUGGGACACAGAGGCAGUGGGAUCUUAAAGAGAAGGCUUUUCAUCGGUGGAGUGGAAGAACAAUAGCAGAGAGAGCUGCCCCCAGUGGAAGGGGAGCUAUCGGAAGCCUUGGAUGCCCAGGAGCUGAGGAGGGAACCAUGCUGUGAUGCCAGUUUUAACCACCUGCCAAGUCUGAAAGUGCUAAUUGAAUGGAGACUUUGCUUAACUGCAGCCUCCAAGAGGCAUGAGAAAUUCACAUGGAGGACUUCUAAAGGAACGGGUGGAAGGCAAUGCCUCCUGAGCCUUUGUAUGUGAAAGGCAUUCUGCUCAGCACUGCAAAGAACACAGAGAAAACCACCUAAAGAUGCUCAGAAUCUCAUGCAAGGGCUGAUUUACAUGUCACUUUUCUUUGAAAUAUUUUUUUAUUGCCGUAAGGGCACUUAACGUGAGACCUAUCCUCUUAAAAAAUUGUAGGCAUACAAUACAUUAUUGUUGAUUAUAAAGAUAUCAUACCUCACAAUUGUCGGGACGGCUAUUACCAAAAAAAAAAAAAAAAAAGCAUUCUGUCACUUGAGACAACACAGAUGAAUGUGGAGGACAUUAUGUUCAGUAAAACAAGUCAGGAACAGAAAUACAAAUACCACACAAUCUCACCUACAUGUAGAAUCUUAAAAAGUUGAACAAAUAGAAAAAGAGAGUAGAAAAAGAGACUGGGGGUUAGAGGAUUGGAGAGAUGUUAGUCAAAGAACACAAAAUUUCAGUUAGAUGGGAGGAAUAAGUCGUAGAGAUCUAUUGCCUAUCAUGGUGACUAUAGUUAUUAUACACCGGAAAAUUGCUAAGAGUAGAAUGUAAGCAUUCUCACCACAAAAAAAAAAAAAAAAGGUAAACAUAUGAGGUAGGGCAUAUGUUAAUUAGCUCAAUUUAGCCAUUCCACAAUGUGUACAUAUAUCAAAACAUCAUGUUGUACACCAAAAAUAUAUAUAAAUUUGUCAAUUAAAAAUUAAAUUAAACAAAAAACAAGUGUGGGCAAGGAUAUGGAGAAACUGAAACCAGUGUAUGCUGUUGGUGGGACUGCAAAAUGAUACAGCCGCUAUGGAAAACAGUGUGGAGGUUCCUCAAAGAGAUAAAAAUAAAACUACCACAUGAUUCAGCCAUCUCAUUUUUGGGUAUAUAUCUGAAAUAAUUGAAAUCAGGAUCUAAAAAAGAGAUAUUAUCACAUCCGUGUUUAUCGCAGUGAGUAAGAAAUUCACAAUAGCCAAGAUAAGGAAAGGACCCAUAUGUUCACUGACAGAUGAAUGGAUAAAGAAAUUGUGGUAUAUACAUACAAUGAAAUACUAUUCAGCUUUUAAAAAGUGAAAAAUUCUGCAAUAUGCAACAACAUGGAUGAACAUUGAGGACAUUAUGCUAAGUGAAAUAAGUUACACACAAAAAGACAAGUACUACAUGAUUCCACCUCCAUGAGUCAUCUAAAAUGGUCAAAUUCUUAAAAUCAAAGACUAGAAUGGUGGUUACCAAGGGCUUGGAGCAGAGGCAAAUGAAAUGUAUUAAUCGGUUUUUUUGAGAAGGUCAUGGCAGACGAGAGGCAGGACUAGAUUGCAGCUCCCACUCAGAUGGACAGAGCAGUGUGUGUAGUCUCGCAUUGUAAACUUUUGCUCCAGAACUACUGCAGAAAUAAUUCAGGAAAGCCAAGAGAACCCACGGACCCUCUGAAGGAAGCAAAUUGCUCCUGCAGGACCCAGGAGACACCCCAAAUACCGUGACUGCCCAAACUCUGGAAGUGAGAAAGGGGGAUCUUCUGCCUCUGAACACACAUGCUCACUAAGGAACCUGAAGGUCUACAACACGGAAGAAGAUUCUGAUCUAACCUGGAGCUGAGUCAAUUUAGAGAGCCAAGCGAAAUACAGGAGUAGAGGAAGCAGCGGGAAAAGCCCCGUGGGCUCUCUGCGUCCCCUGGGUAGCCAUUUCCGCCUUGCCUCACAGGGGGCCUUGGGGAGGACUGCCAGAAAAGGACUGGGAAAAGGCCACAAGGAGAAGGAAACCUCCAGCUGAACUUUGUAAUAAUUCCAACCGCAUGAGAAAUCUCCUGGCCAGAACUCAAGGGAGGGCAUGAAUCCUGUGUGCAGACUCCACAGGUGGGGAAGCAUGAAAGCCCUACUUACUUUCAUAGCUGGGAGGUGAGUAGCCUGGAGCUAGUUCUCAGCCCUGCUCACCCACUGCCUGGAAACAGACUCGGUGCUGUUGGGGGGUGGGUACAGUGAAAGUGAGAUCAUCCUUUUGGCUUGCAUGGGAGCUGGGUGAGGCCUGUGACUGCUGGCUUUCCCCGACCUCCCUGACAACCUACAUGACACAGCAGAGGCAGCUAUAAUCCUCCUAGGAACAUAACUCUAUUGACCUGGGAACCACACUCCCAUCCCCCACAGCAGCCACAGCAACACCCUCCCAUAAGGAGAGUCUGGGCUCAGACACACCUAGCCUUGCCCCCACCUGAUGGUCCUUUCUACCCACGCUGGAGCUGAAGACAAAGGACUUAUACUCUGGGGAGUUCUAGGGCCCUGCCCACCACCUGAUCCUCCCUAUACUACCACAGCUGAUGCUUUCUUGAAAGUGCCACCUCCCUGCAGGAGGCCAACCAGCACAAAAAUAGUGCAUUAACAACCGAAAUUAAGGACCCUCACAGAGUCCAUUUCACCCCCCUGCCAACUCCACCAGAGCAGAUGCUGGUAUCCACAGCUGAGAGACCCACAGAUGGUUCACAUCACAGGACUCUGUAUAGACAACCCCAGUACCAGCCCAGAGCCUGGUUGACCUGAUGGGUGGCUAGAUCCAGAAGACAGAUUACAAUCACUACAGCUUUGCUCUCAGGAAGGCAAAUCCCUAGGAAAAGAGAAAGUACUACAUCAAGGGAACAUCCCAUGGGACAAAAGAAUCUGAACAACAGCCUUGAGCCCUAGACCUUCCCUCUGACACAGUCUACCCAAAUGAGAAGAAACCAGAAAACCAACCGUGGUUAUAUGACAAAACAAGGCUCUUUAACACCCCCAAAAAAAAUCACUCCAGGUCACCAGCAAUGGAUCCAAACCAAGAAGAAAUCCCUGAUUUACCUGAAAAAAGAAUUCAGAGAGUCAGUUAUUAGGCUAAUCAGGGAGCCACCAGAGAAAGGCAAAGCCCAAUUUAAGGAAAUUUUUUAAAAUGAUACAAGAAAUGAGGGGAGAGAUCUUCAGUGAAAUAGCAUAAAUAAAAAACAAUCAAAACUUCAGGAAACAAUGGAUGCACUUAUAGAAAUGCAGAAUGCUCUGGAAAGUCUCAGCAAUGCAAUCAAAUGAGCAGAAGAAAGAACUUCAGAGCUUGAAGACAAGGAUUUUAAUUAACCCAAUCCAACAAGACAAAGAAAAAAGAAUAAGAAAAUAUGAACAAAGGCUCCAAGAAGUCUAAGAUUCUUUCAAACAACCAAACCUAAAAAUAAUCGGCAAUCCUGAGGAAGUAGAGAAAUCUAAAAGUCUGGAAAACAUAUUUGUUGGAAUAAUCAAGGAAAACUUCCCUGGCCUUGCUAGAGACCUAGACAUCCAAAUACAAGAAACUCAAAGAACACCUGGGAAAUUCACCACAAAAAGAUCAUAACCUAGGCACAUUGUCAUCAGGUUAUCUAAAGUUAAGAUGAAGGAAAGAAUCUUAAGAGCUGUGAGGAAAAGCACCAGGUAACAUAUGAAGGAGAAUCUAUCAGAUUAACAGCAGAUUUAUCAGCAGAAACCCUACAAGCUAGAAGGUACUGGAGCCCUAUCUUCAGCUUCCUUAAACAAAACAAUUAUCAGCCAAGAAUUUUGUAUCCAGCAAAACUAAGCUUCAUAAAUGCAGGAAAGAUACAGUCUUUUUCAGAGAAACAAAUGCGGAGAGAAUUUGCCACUACACCAAGCCAGCACUACAAGAAUGCUAAAAGGAGCUCUAAAUCUUGAAACAAAUCCUGGAAACACAUCAAAACAGUACCUCUUUAAAGCAUAAAUCACACAGGACCUAUAAAACAAAAAUACAAUUAAAGAUUAAAAAAAAAGUAUACAGGCAACAAAUAGCAUGAUGAAUGGAAUAGUGCCUCACAUCUCAAUACUAACAUUGAAUAUAAAUGGCCUAAAUGCACCACUUAAAAGAUAACAGAAUUGCAGAAUGAAUAAGAAUUCACCAACCAUCUGCUGCCUUCAAGAGACUCACCUAACACUUAAGGACUCACAUAAACUUAAAGGGGUGGAAAAAGAUAUUCCAUACAAAUGCACACCAAAAGCAAGCAGGGGUAGCUAUUCUUAUAUCAGGCAAAGCAAACUUUAAAGCAACAGCAGUUAAAAAAGACAAAGAAGGACAUCAUUAUGUAAUGAUACAAGGCCUUGUCCAACAGGAAAAUAUCACAAUCCUAAAUAUAUAUGCAUCUAACACUGAAGCUCCCAAAUUUACUACUAGACCUAAGGAAUGAAAUAGACAGCAACAAAAUAAUAGUGGGGGACUUCAAUACUCCACUGACAGCACUAGACAGGUCAUCAAGACAGAAAGUCAACAAAAAAAAUGGAUUUAAACUAUACCCUGGAAUAAAUGAACUUAACAUAUUUACAGAACAUUCUACCCACAAACCUCAGAAUAUACAUUCUACUCAUCAGCUCAUGGGACUUUCUCCAAGAUAGACCAUAUGAUAGGCUAUAAAAAAGCCUCAAUAAAUUUAAUAAAAUUGAAAUUAUAUCAAGCACUCUCUCAGACCACAGUGGAAUAAAACCGGAAAUCAACUCUAAAAGGAACUUUCAAAACCAUGCAAAUACAUGGAAAUUAAAUAAUCUGCUCCUGAAUGAUCGAUCAUUGGGUCAACAAUGAAAUCAAGAUGGAAAUUAAAAAUCUCUUCAAACUAAAUUACAAUAGUGACAUAACGUAUCAAAACAUCUGGGAUAUAGCAAAGGUGUAAGAGGAAAGUUCAUAGCCCUAAAUGCAUACAUCAAAAAGUCUGAAAGAGCACAAACAGACAAUCUAAGGUCACACCUCGAGGAGCUAGAGAAAAAAGAACAAACCAAACCCAAGCCCAGCAGAAGAAAGGAAAUAAGAUCAGAGCAGAACUAAAUGAAAUGGAAACAAACAAAAAAAAAUACGAAAGUGAAACAAAAAGCUGGUUUUUUGAAAAGAUAAAUAAAAUUGAUAGACCAUUAGCAAGAUUAACCAAGAAAAGAAGAGAGAAAAUCCAAAUAAGCUCAACUAGAGACAAAACAGGAGAUACUGCAACUGACCACAGAAAUACAAAAGAUCAUUCAAGUGUACUAUAAACACCUUUAUGUACAAAAACUAGAAAACCUAGAUGAGACGGAUAAAUUCCUGGAAAGAUACUAACCUCCUAGCUUAAAUCAGAAAGAAUUAGAUACCCUGAACAGACCAAUAAUAAGCAGUGAGAUUGAAAUGGUAAUUUAAAAAUUAACAACAACAACAACAAGAAAAAUCCAGGACCAGAUGGUUUCAAAGCUGAAUUCUACCAGACAUUCGAAGAAGAAUUGGUACCAAUCCUAUUGACACUAUUCCACAAGACAAAGAGGGAAUCCUCCCUAAAUCAUUCUAUGAAGCCGCUAUCACCCUAAUACAAAAACCAGGAAAGGCAUAAACAAAAAAGAAAACUACAGACCAAUAUCCCUGUUGAACAUAGAUGCAAAAAUCCUUAACAAAAUACUAGCUAACCUAAUCCAACAACAUAUCAAAAAGAUAAUCCACCAUGACCAAGUGGGUUUUAUACCAGAGAUGCAGGAAUGAUUUAACAUAUACAAAUCAAUAAAUGUGAUACACCACAUAAACAGAAUUAAAAACAAAAAUCACAUGAUCAUCUCAAUAGACACAGCAAAUUAAACAAAAUCCAGCAUCCCUUUAUGAUUUAAACUCUCAGCAAAAUCGGCAUACAAGAGGCAUAACUCAAUGUAAUAAAAGCCAUCUAUGACAAACCCACAGCCAACAUAAUACUAAAUGGGGAAAAGUUCAAAGCAUUCACUCUGAGAACUGGAACAAGACAAGGAUGCCCAAUCUCACUACUUCUCUUCAACAUAAGUACUUGAAGUUCUAAAAAGAGCAAUCAGACAAGAGAAAGAAAUAAAGUGCAUCCAAAUCAGUAAAGAGGAAGUCAAACUGUCUCUGCUGAUGGUAUGAUUGUAUACCUAGAAAACCCUAAAGACUCCUCCAAAAAGCUCCUAGAACUCCAGCAAAGUUUCUGGAUACAAAAUUAAUGUACACAAAUCAGCAGCUGUCCUGUACACCAAUAGCGACCAAGCUGAGAAUCAAACCAAGAACUCAACCCCUUUUACAAUAGCGGCAAAAAAAAACAAAACAACAACAACAAAAACUUGGGAAUACACCUAACCAAGGAGGUGAAAGACCUCUACAAAGAAAACUACAAAACCCUGCUGAAAGAAAUCAGAGACAGCACAAACAAAUGGAAACAUGUCCCUUGUUCAUGGAUAGGUAGAAUCAAUAUUGUGAAAAUGACCAUACUGACAAAAGCAAUCUACAAAUUUAAUGGAAUUCCCAUCACAAUACCACCUUUUCCAGUUCUUCACAGAACAAUAAAAAAAAAUCCUAAAAUUCAUAUGGAACCAAAAAAGAGUCCACAUAACCAAAGCAAGACUAAGCAAAGAGAACAAAUCUGAAGGCAUCACGUUACCUGAUUUCAAACUAUACUGUAAGGCCAUAGUCACCAAAACAGCAUGGUACUGGUACAAAAACAGGCACAUAGACCAAUGGGACAGAAUAGAGAACCCAGAAAUAAACCCAAAUACUUACAGCCAACUGAUCUGUGACAAAGCAAACAGAAACAUAAAGUGGGGAAAGGACACUCUAUUCAACAAAUGGUGCUGGGAUAAUUGGCUAGCCACAUAUAGGAGAAAGAAACUGGAUCCUCAUCUCUCAUCUUAUACAAGAAUCAACUCAAGAUGGAUCAAAGACUUAAAUCCAAGAUGUGAAACUAUAAAAAUUCUAGAUGAUAACAUCAGAAAAACCCUUCUAGACAUUGGCUUAGGCAAGGAUUUCAUGACGGAGAACCCAAAAACAAAUAAAAACAAAGAUAAAUAGCUGGGACUUAAUUAAACUAAAGAGCUUUUGCCUAGCAAAGGAACAGUCAGCAGAGUAAACAGACAACCCACAGACUUGGAGAAAAUCUUCACAAUCUAUACAUCUGACAAAGGAUUAAUAUUCAGAAUCUACAACAAGCUCAAACAAAUUAGCAAGAAAAAAAAUCCCAUCAAAAAGUGGAGUAAGGACAUGAAUAGACAAUUCUCAAAAGAAAAUAUACAAAUGGCCAACAUACAUACGAAAAAAUGCUCAGCAUCACUAAUGACCAGGGAAAUGCAAAUCAAAACCACAAUGUGACACCAUCUUACUCCUGCAAGAACGGCCAUAGUCAAAAAAAAUAAAAAUAAAUGGAUGUUGGGGUGAUGCGGUGAAGGUGAACAGGGUACACUUCUAGUAUAGAAGUGUAGGAAUGUAAACUAGUACAACCACUAUGGAAAACACUGGAGAGUCCUUAAAGAACUAAAAGUGGAAUUACCAUUUGAUUCAGCAACCCCACUGCUGGGUAUCUACCCAGAGGAAAAAAAGUAAUAUGAAAAAGAUAUUUGCACACCCAUAUUUAUAGCAGCACAAUUUGCAAUUGCAAAAAUGUGGAACCAACCCAAAUGCCCAUCAAUAAACAAGUGGAUAAAGAAACUGUGGUAUAUACAUAUAUAUAUGAUGGAAUAUUACUCAGCCAUAAAAAAGGAAUGGAUUUUUCACAUUCCCAGCAACCUGAAUGAAAUUGGAGACUAUUAUUCUAAGUGAAGUAACCCAGGAAUAGAAAACCAAACAUUGUAUGUUCUCACUCAUAAGUGCGAGCUAAGAUAUGAGGAUGCAAAGGCAUAAGAAUGACACAAUAGACUUUGGGGACUCAGGGUGAAAGGGUGGAAAGAGUGUGAGGGAUAAAAGACUACGAAUUGGGUAUAGUGUAUACUGGUCAGGUGAUAGGUGCACCAAAAUCUCAUAAAUCAGCACUAAAGAAUUUAUUCGUGUAACCAAACACCACCUGUUCCCCAAUAACCUAUGGAAAUAAAUAAAAUAAAGAAAUGUCUUAAUUGAAAGGCAUAAAGUUUCUGAAAUAUUUUUUAAAACCACCCCCCACACCCACACACACAACUAUCCUUAACACACACACAGUAUUUUAGUACACUGUUAAUAUAUAUGCCCCUAUGUUUUAAUUGCCAUUAAACCAAUCCAAACAGAUGAGAACCUGGCCAAUGACUGCCAUUUCCCUAACUUGAGCGAUUGCCAAAAGCAUUUGGUUUAUUCUGAGGUGAUCUCUCUUUCUGACAUUUAUUUUGGGCUCUGAGAGAGAGUUUUAACCCAUAAUAGCUGAUGGAAUGUGAUUAAGUGAUAGUUCCCAGCCUGUGAAGAUGCAGGGAAAAAACAAACAAACAACAACAACAAAAACACCUAAGCAGCAUAUCAGACAGCAUGCCAAAAUAAUCAUUUUACUGCGACUCAAGAUACCUUCAAAGAAUUGGCCUACCAAAGAUUAGCAAGUUAAGAGUUCAUGGGAGAUAUUUGCCAUUAGAAAGGGCAGUAUUAGACAUCACUGCUGCUGGUUAGAAUUCACCAAAACUUGAAUGAAUGGCAACCAGAAGAAACCUUGGCAGGAGGCACUGGAGACUUCAGGAGGAGAUAUGAGGAGACUUGAAGGGCAAUAGCCAACACAGCUGCCAGGGAACACACCUGCAGGGAGGUCUAUUGUUUAGCAACCUCAUGUAGCACUGAACGUUUAAGUGCUCCUAUAUUCAGGUAGAAUGCUGCUAAAAUUGGGGAACAUGUAUGUAUUCAUACAGACGAUGUUGACAAAACACUUGCCAUAAUACUAGGCAAAACAAAACCUAACAGGUUUCAUUCUAUGGUAUGAUCAUAAUUAUCAAAAACAAAAGCACAAAACUAUACAAAUAAAGGAGUUAAGAUGGAAAUACACAAAUCUAUGAACGGUGAUUGCCUUGGCUGGUAGAACGAUAAGUAGAGUUUUCUUCCCUUUCUGUGACUUCCAAAUUUUCUUGAAUAAUUACGUGCUUUUACAAUAAAAAAAAAACUUACUUUAAAAAGAAGAAAUGUCCUUUGUUUUCUUUCUCUCUCUCUCUCUCUCUCUCUCUCUCUCUCUGGAAAGUACACUAUUUUCCUCUUAGGAGUUGCCUCACCUGCUGUUUUCUGGUAUUCCAUUUUCCGUGACCCAAGCCAACACACAAUGUUCAGCAAAUGAAGAAAACAUGAGGGAAUUGGUGAGAUGAGAGUUAGAUUUGGGGGAAGCCAAGUGACUAAAAUAAGCAGUUAAUUCUUUAUCAUGUAGUCAUUCUGCCUGGCAAACACUAGGUAUGCCAAUAAGUACUAACACAGUGCCUAUCUCUUUUCAGUAUUAUUUUAAAAUGUUAUAACACCUGAGCAUUAUGGAAAUUGUUCUUUUUGAAGUAAAACUCAGGAUACAAUAAUCAACAAAGGACUUCCAAGCUGUCUCUAGGAGCAAGUUUUAUACACAAAUACAUAUAAUUGUUUAAUAACCUCAUAAUUUGUUCAUAAUUUAUUCAUAAAUAACAAACGUAUACAUAAGUAUAAUGUAAAUAUACAUAUCCCAAAUUAGUAAUAUUUGGGGAACAUUUUGAUGGUUCAUGUGAAAAUAGGACAUGUUGAAUUUGAAAUGGUUAUAGGACACUAAUGUAUUUCUUAAUUGUACUUAAAAUGCUAAAAUGACUCUGAAGAUAGCUGUUUAUUGCUUAAAAACAAAUAUUUCCAUUACUUUCUAGAAUAAGAGGUAUCAACAGCAGUAGCAGCAGUACGUAUUACAUUUAAGAGUUGAUGUGGAAAUCAGAUUGCCUCAACUCAAACCAAAUUCCUUAAGUCCGUGACCAAGGGCAAGUUACUAAAUCCUUCAAGUCUCACUUUCCUGAUUUGUAAAAUAGAGUACUUGGAGGUUUGAAAUGAUUACAUGACAUAAUUAAUAUUUACAUAGUACCUCACCCAUAUGAGGUCUUAAUAAAUGUUAUCCAUUACUGUUAUCAUCCUUACUAUCAAACAUGUACCAGUAGAACCCAGGCUCAAUUUUUAAAUCAGUCCUUUGCUGUAGAAGCCACAAGACGGCUGCAUCUGAGAGGAUACUGACAGGUACUGCCAGGAAGCCAUGUGUACCUGCAGGAGACCAGCACGUGUUGUAGCAGGAAGUUAGAACUCAGAAUUGUAAGUUGCUAACCAUAUUUAAGAAUUUCUUGUGCACUCAGUUUUCAAUGAUGGGAAGAGCAGCUUGAACAUUUUGGGGGUGUUAGGUACAGAAUGUAGAUUUUCCAGCCCUGUGUCCUUUGGAAUACAAGCUGCUACUUGUUGUCAAUGUUGGAAUGAAGGUUUAUUUUGGCAAGGAUGAGACUGUCUUCCUUCCAGAUUCUUGGGAAUUUAACAUGCCAGAUACUAGUGGGCUCAGCUCUCAAUGAAAAAGCACAAGAAUGGCAUCUGGUGGAUCUCCAUAUCCUUUCCAAGAGACCCAUUUACCCUCCCUCUCUAGCUCUAAUUCUUUUAUAGAAUAGGACCGAAAUAAAAUGUUUCUGCAUUUCCAAAGAUUUUAGUCUCUAUGGUAUAGGAAUUCCAAUGCUGAGACCUCAAUAUGAAAACUAGUCAUAUUUAUGGGAAAACUCCCAGGGUAUCUGGUACAAGCAAAUGUAGAACCACUCGUUAGCAACAUUUCCUCAAAUAAGAUUCUAUGCAGUUUCCAUAGUGUUAAUAAUCCCCACUGAGAGUUAGUUCACAAUGAAAAAUUAUGAACUAUAUAAGGAAACAAACCACCAGGAAGAUUAUAAGUACAAUAUCAGAAAAAAUAGCAUCCCCCAAAUUCAAAUUAAUAGAAUGUUAAGAGGUUACUAAAAUAUGUAUUUUUAAAAUUAUUAAAGAGAUAGGAGAAGGCAAAAUAACAACGAAGGAACAGGACAUAGUAAAAAUAAUUAGAGAAACUGGAAAAUGAAACAAAUGGAAUUUCUACAAAUGAAAAUAUAGUUACUGAGAUUAAACUCAGUAUAGAAAUGAAAUAGCAUAUUAAACUAAGGUGACAAAAGAAUUACUGAACUGGAAGCUAGAAUUAAAAAGAAGGUAAACAAACAGAAUAUGUAAAAGUUUUAGAGAGACAUGGAAGAUAGAAAGAAAAUUUUCAACAUUUACCUAGAAUAAGUAACGGAAAGCAAUAGUAGAUAGAAUAAGAGUAACACGCCGGGUGCGGUGGCUCCCGCCUGUAAUCCCAGCACUUUGGGAGGCCGAGGCGGGUGGAUCACCUGAGGUCGGGAUUUCGAGACCAGCCUGACCAACAUGGAGAAACCCCGUCUCUACUGAAAAUACAAAAAAAUUAGCCAGGCGUGGUGGUGCAUGCCUGUAAUCUCAGCUACUAGGGAGGCUGAGGCAGGAGAAUCGCUUGAACCCGGGAGGCGGAGGUUGCGGUGAGCCAAGAUCACGCUAUUGCACUCCAGCCUAGGCAACAAGAGUAAAACUCGGUCUUGAAAAAAAAAAAAAAAAAAAGAGUAACACUUGUUCUUUGGAAGACAAUAACUUGGAAUUUGAUAAAAAAGAUAUUUUAGAAUUGAAAAAUAUAAAUGCUCAGUUUGAUAAAGCAAGAUAUCCAAGCAGUACAAAGAAAAAAAAAGUUUUUAUCUAGACACAUAACAGUAAAACUGCAGCAUCUCAAGAUGAAGAUAACAUCUUUUUAAAAAACCAAUUAGAAAAAAAUAGUUCCAUGCAAAAGACCUACAAUUAAUAUGGCAGCAGACUUCUCAUGAGCAACAAUAAAGACCAGAAGACAAUGAAAUAAUUUUUAAAUUCUGAGAGUAAAAGAAAAUCAGUAUUCUAUAUUCAACUAAACAUUUUCUACUCAAAAAUCCAUACAUAUAUACGUGCUCUUUUAAUACGGGAGGUGAAAUAAUAACAAAUA